CUGUAUCACCCGGCGGAGGUCGUCUCUCCCCCUCCUCCCGCGGCGGCCGUUAUCUCUCCAACAUCGGCGCGUGACUCCCUCUCUCUAGCAUCGGCACUCGUCUCCCUCGCUCUCCUGCGCCCGGCUACAUCGAUCGACGACGGCACCUGCGUCCGGCUCCAUCGAUCUCCAGCGGCGGCGCCUGCCAUCCCUCGCCCUCCAUCGGCGUCGUCUAGACUCCCUCGCGGCGGCCUCUGUUCCAUCUGCAGGACAAGUGCAUCAUGUCCUGGAGAUAGUUCAUCUGAUGACUCAAGUGAUGAUGUGGUAGAGAUAGAAAGAACUCUAGAAAAUGAUGAUGUCAAUGUGGCUGUUUCGAAAAGAUCCAAACCAGGGAAAAGGAAACACAAGGCCUCAUGUACUGCUGCUGAGGAGAAGGAAGAGAAGACUCCAUUCUUUCGACUAUACAAGAACACAUGUUUGAAGAUAGAAACAACAACAGAGAAGAUAUCCACAGUGUUGAAGCAUCAUCAUCACCUCCAACAAGCCAAGCGCCUAGCAUUGCAGAGACUAUGA
rnacentral:misc_RNA from 1 species